rnacentral:rRNA from 1 species
UGCGGUUAAAAAGCUCGUAGUUGGAUUUCUGCCUUGGUUGCGUGGUCCGCCUUCUCGGGCGUGUAUCUACGCGUGCCUUGGCAUCCUCUUGAAGAACGUUCUCGCGCUUCAUUGCGUGGUACGGUAUUCAAGACUUUUACUUUGAGGAAAUUAGAGUGUUCACGGCAGGCAAUCGCUUUGAAUACAUUAGCAUGGAAUAAUCUUAUAGGACCUCGGUUCUAUUUUGUUGGUUUCUAGAGCUGAGGUAAUGAUUAAUAGGGAUAAUUGGGGGUCUUUGUAUUGCAACGUCAGAGGUGAAAUUCUUGGAUUGUUGCACGACAAACUACUGCGAAAGCAUUGACCAAGGAUAUUUUCAUUGAUCAAGAACGAAAGUAAGGGGAUCGAAGACGAUCAGAUACCGUCGUAGUCUUUACCAUAAACUAUGCCAACUAGGGAUUGGAGGUCGUUUUAUUCUCGACUCCUUCAGCACCUUAUGAGAAAUCAAAGUCUUUGGGUUCCGGGGGGAGUAUGGUCGCAAGGCUGAAACUUAAAGGAAUUGACGGUAGGGCACCACCAGGAAUGGAGCCUGCGGCUUAAUUUGACUCAACACGGGAAAACUCACCAGGUCCAGACAUAGGAAGGAUUGACAGAUUGAUAGCU